UACGUAGGUGGCAAGCGUUGUCCGGAAUUAUUGGGCGUAAAGAGCUCGUAGGCGGUUUGUCGCGUCUGCUGUGAAAACUCGGGGCUUAACCCCGGGCCUGCAGUGGGUACGGGCAGACUAGAGUGCGGUAGGGGAGACUGGAAUUCCUGGUGUAGCGGUGAAAUGCGCAGAUAUCAGGAGGAACACCGGUGGCGAAGGCGGGUCUCUGGGCCGUAACUGACGCUGAGGAGCGAAAGCGUGGGGAGCGAACAGG
rnacentral:rRNA from 1 species